AAGUCGUAACAAGGUCUCCGUUGGUGAACCAGCGGAGGGAUCAUUACAGAGUUGCAAAACUCCCCAAACCAUUGUGAACCUACCGCUAAACAGUUGCUUCGGCGGGUGGCCAGCGAGGGCCCCUUCAGGGGGGGCCGGAGCGCGCCCUAGACAGCCCGCCGGAGGUUACCCAAACUCUUUGUUUAACUAAAGGCCUCUCUGAGUACUGUACUUUUAAAAAAGUCAAAACUUUCAACAACGGAUCUCUUGGUUCUG
rnacentral:misc_RNA from 1 species